CUCAACGACCGUACCGCAAACCGACACUGGUGCGCGAGAUGAGUAUUCUAAGGCGCUUGAGAGAACUCAGGAGAAGGAACUCGGCAAAUUGACACCGUAACUUCGGAAGAAGGUGUGCCCUAUUAGUGUGUAGUGAACAACGAAGCAUGAAUGGGUUGCAAAAAAUCGGUGGCUGCGACUGUUUAUUAAAAACACAGCACUCUGCAAACACGAAAGUGGACGUAUAGGGUGUGACGCCUGCCCGGUGCUGGAAGAUUAAAUGAUGGGGUGCAAGCUCUUGAUUGAAGUCCCAGUAAACGGCGGCCGUAACAAUAACGGUCCUAAGGUAGCGAAAUUCCUUGUCGGGUAAGUUCCGACCUGCACGAAUGGCGUAACGAUGGCCACACUGUCUCCUCCUGAGACUCAGCGAAGUUGAAAUGUUUGUGAUGAUGCAAUCUCCCCGCGGAAAGACGGAAAGACCCCAUGAACCUUUACUGUAGCUUUGUAUUGGACUUUGAACAGAUCUGUGUAGGAUAGGUGGGAGGCUUUGAAGCAGGGUCGCUAGAUCUUGUGGAGCCAACGUUGAAAUACCACCCUGGUGUGUUUGAGGUUCUAACCUAGGUCCAUUAUCUGGAUCGGGGACAGUGCAUGGUAGGCAGUUUGACUGGGGCGGUCUCCUCCCAAAGCGUAACGGAGGAGUUCGAAGGUACGCUAGUUACGGUCGGACAUCGUGACGAUAGUGCAAUGGCAUAAGCGUGCUUAACUGCGAGACUGACAAGUCGAGCAGAUGCGAAAGCAGGACAUAGUGAUCCGGUGGUUCUGUAUGGAAGGGCCAUCGCUCAACGGAUAAAAGGUACUCUGGGGAUAACAGGCUGAUACCGCCCAAGAGUUCAUAUCGACGGCGGUGUUUGGCACCUCGAUGUCGGCUCAUCUCAUCCUGGGGCUGUAGCCGGUCCCAAGGGUAUGGCUGUUCGCCAUUUAAAGAGGUACGUGAGCUGGGUUUAAAACGUCGUGAGACAGUUUGGUCCCUAUCUUCCGUGGGCGCUGCAGAUUUGAGGAAGCCUGCUCCUAGUACGAGAGGACCGGAGUGGACACACCUCUGGUGUAUCGGUUGUCACGCCAGUGGCAUUGCCGAGUAGCUAAGUGUGGAAGAGAUAACCGCUGAAAGCAUCUAAGCGGGAAACUCGUUUCAAGAUGAGAUCUGCCGGGGCCUUGAGCCCCCUAAAGAGUCGUUCAAGACCAGGACGUUGAUAGGUCAGGUGUGGAAAC
rnacentral:rRNA from 1 species